rnacentral:piRNA from 1 species
AAAGCAGAGGUAGAUGGACUUC